rnacentral:tRNA from 7 species
GCGGCCGUCGUCCAGCCUGGUCUAGGACAUUGGCCCCCCGCGCCAACAACCCGGGUUCAAAUCCCGGCGGCCGCA